GCCUGGGUGGCUUAGUUGCUUAAGCAUCUGACUUGGGCUCAGGUUGUGAUCUCAUGGUUCGUGAGUUUGAGCCCCGCAUCGGGCU
rnacentral:tRNA from 1 species